AUGGACCUGUCACGUUCCGUCGCCGUCCUGGUCCUCGCCGUCGCCGUCUGCUUCCCCUGCGCGUCCGCCGAGGACCAGCUGGCCGUCGGCGAGAGGCUCCGUGUGGAGCAAACCCUCGUGUCUGAUGGCGGCGCCUUCGCUCUUGGCUUCUUCUCCCCGGACGACGCCGCGGUACCGGCGAGACGGUAUCUUGGCAUAUGGUACAACGGCAUCCCUGCACCCCGCACCGUUGUCUGGGUGGCCAACCGGGAGGCCCCGGCUGCCGGCUCCCCGACGCUGGCGCUGGCCAACGACUCCAGCCUCGUCAUGUCCGACGCCGACGGCCGCGUGCUCUGGAGGACUCCCGGCGCGGGCGGCUCGUCCUCCUCGUCCUCGUCGCCGCCGCCGGCCCUGCUGACGAACGAGGGCAACCUGGUCGUCCGGUCGCUGAACGGCACGGUGGCGUGGCAGAGCUUCGACCACCCAACGGACACGUUCGUCCCGGGGAUGAAGGUGCGGCUGAGCCACCUAACGGGGGAGGGCAACCGGAUCGUGUCCUGGAAAUCCCCCGGCGACCCAGCGCCGGGCCCCUUCUCCUACGGCCUGGACCCCGGCACGUCGCUGCAGCUGCUCAUGUGGAACGGCACGCGGCCCUACUGGCGCACGCCCGUCUGGAAGGGGUACGCCGUCGCCAGCAUGUACCUCAGCGCCGGCACGGUGCUCUACACGGCGAUCGUCGACACCGAGGAGGAGAUCUCCAUCGCCUUCACCCUCUCCGGCGGCGCCGCGCCCACGCGGUACGUGGUGACCAGCUCCGGCAGGUUCCAGCUCCUUAGCUGGAACAGCACCGUGUCGGCGUGGGCCACGCUCCUGUCGUGGCCGUCGAGCGGGUGCAGCACAUACAGGCGCUGCGGCGCGUACGGGUACUGCGACGUCACCGCGGCCCCGGCGGCGUGCAGGUGCCUCGACGGCUUCGAGCCGGCGAGCGCGUCGGAGUGGGGCGCGGGCGUGUUCGAGCAGGGGUGCCGGCGGAAGGAGGCGCUGCCGCCUUGCGGCGGCGGCGGCAUGGGGGUGGGUUUCGUGGCGAUGCCGACCAUGAAGGUGCCGGACAAGUUCUCGCUGGACACCGGCAACCGGAGCGCGGGGGAGUGCGCGGCGAGGUGCGCCGCCAACUGCUCGUGCGAGGCGUACGCGUACGCCAACCUGCAGAGCAGCAGCGCCAAGGGCGAGCUGAGCCGGUGCAUCGUGUGGGCAGGGGAGCUCGUGGACGCGCAGAUGAUCGGCCCGCGCUGGGGCGGCGAGACGCUCUACCUCCGCGUGCCCGUCGCUGAUGCUUCCACUUCCCCGGGUGGAAAGGCCAGCGGAAAUGCCGUGAAGAUAGCAGUGCCGGUGUCAGCAGCCGUCCUGCUGCUCACAUGCAUUUUCUUCGUAUGGUUCUGCAGAUGCAGAGACAAGAGGAGGAAAACCGAGAGCCAGAAGACGCCAAUGCCCGGGACAAGGACGGGGACCACAAACACGUCGAGCGAAAUCGGUGAAGGAGAUCACACCGGAGACCUCGAGUUCCCGUCCAUACGGUUCGCCGACAUCGUCGCCGCCACGGGCAACUUCUCCAAGGCCCUCAUGAUCGGGCGCGGCGGCUUCGGCAAGGUCUACAAGGCAAAACUAGACGGCGGUCAGGUGGUCGCUGUGAAGCGGCUGAGCAAGGAUUCAGAGCAGGGAGCAGAGGAGUUCAAGAACGAGGCGACUCUGAUCGCCAAGCUGCAGCACCGGAACCUGGUCCGCCUCCUCGGCUGCUGCACCGAGGGGGCCGAGAAGCUGCUCAUCUACGAGUACCUGCCCAACAAGGGCCUCGACGCCGUCCUCUUUGACAGUGCUAGGAAAGCGGUGCUGGACUGGCCGACGCGAUUGGGGAUCAUCAAGGGGGUGGCCAGGGGGCUGCUCUACCUGCACCAGGACUCCAGGCUGACGGUGAUUCACAGGGACCUCAAGGCCAGCAACGUGCUGCUGGAUGCAGAGAUGCGGCCCAAGAUCGCCGACUUCGGCAUGGCAAAGAUCUUUGGUGACAACCAGGUGAAAGCCAACACCCGGAAAGUCGUCGGAACAUAUGGCUACAUUGCUCCUGAGUACUCGACGGAGGGCGUCUUCUCCGUCAAGUCCGACGUGUACAGCUUCGGCGUGCUGCUGCUGGAGACCGUGAGUGGCAUCAGGGUAAGCGCAACCGAGGGCAUCAUGGAGUUUCCCAGCCUCAUAAUCUAUGCAUGGAGCCUGUGGAGGGAAGGGAAGGCAGGGAAGCUGGUGGACCCAUCCAUGGCAGGGAGCUGUUCACAGGAUGAGGCAUUGCUCUGCAUCCACGUCGGGCUCCUGUGCGUGGAGGACGACCCGAGCAGGAGGCCGCUAAUGUCGUCGGUCGUCUCCAUCUUGGAAAAUGGAAGCGUGUCGUCGCUGUCCCUCCCGACGCCGGUGCAGCCUGCUUUUAUCGAAAUGAUGGGAGAGAAGAGCCAGAGAAGCGAUCUCGAGAACACCAGGAACACCAUGGCCAUGACAGUUCUUCAGGGCCGGUAG
rnacentral:rRNA from 1 species